rnacentral:rRNA from 1 species
CCAGCACCUGCGGUAAUUCCAGCUCCAAUAGCGUAUAUUUAAGUUGCUGCAGUUAAAAAGCUCGUAGUUGGAUUUCGGGUGGGGCCUGCCGGUCCGCCGUUUCGGUGUGCACUGGCCGGGCCCACCUUGGUGCCGGGGACGGGCUCCUGGGCUUAACUGUUCGGGACUCGGAGUCGGCGAUGUUACUUUGAGUAAAUUAGAGUGUUCAAAGCAGGCCUACGCUCUGAAUACAUUAGCAUGGAAUAACACGAUAGGACUCUGGCCUAUCUGUUGGUCUGUGGGACCGGAGUAAUGAUUAAGAGGGACAGUCGGGGGCAUUCGUAUUCCAUUGUCAGAGGUGAAAUUCUUGGAUUUAUGGAAGACGAACUACUGCGAAAGCAUUUGCCAAGGAUGUUUUCA